CCUACGGGUGGCAGCAGUGGGGAAUAUUGCACAAUGGGGGAAACCCUGAUGCAGCAACGCCGCGUGAAGGAAGACGGUUUUCGGAUUGUAAACUUCUGUUCUUGGUGAAGAAUAAUGACGUUAGCUAAGGAUCCCGCCACGGCUAACUACGUGCCAGCAGCCGCGGUAAUACGUAGGUGGCAAGCGUUGUCCGGAAUUACUGGGUGUAAAGGGGGCGCAGACGGCAGCGCAAGCCAGGAGUGAAAGCCCGGGGCCCAACCCAGGGACUGCUCUUGGAACUGGGCGGCUGGAGUGCAGGAGGGGAAGGCGGAAUUCCUGGUGUAGCGGUGAAAUGCGUAGAGAUCAGGAGGAACACCGGUGGCGAAGGCGGCCUGCUGGACUGAGACUGACGUUGAGGUCCGAAAGCGUGGGGAGCAAACAGGAUUAGAUACCCUGGUAGUC
rnacentral:rRNA from 1 species